rnacentral:tRNA from 1 species
GCCCGGGUGGCGGAAUUGGCAGACGCGCCAGCUUGAGGGGCUGGUGAGGGCAACCUCGUGCAGGUUCGAUCCCUGUCCCGGGCA